rnacentral:rRNA from 1 species
CAGUAGCCGCGGUAACACGGAGGGGGCUAGCGUUGUUCGGAAUUACUGGGUGUAAAGCGCACGUAGGCGGCUUGGUAAGUUAGAGGUGAAAGCCCGGAGCUCAACUCCGGAAUUGCCUCUAAGACUGCCGAGCUAGUAGGUGAGAGAGGUAAGUGGAAUUCCGAGUGUAGAGGUGAAAUUCGUAGAUAUUCGGAAGAACACCAGUGGCGAAGGCGGCUUACUGGCUCAUUCUAGACGCUGAGGUGCGAAAGCGUGGGGAGCAAACAGGAUUAGAUACCCGGGUAGUCCCUGUCUCUUAUAC